CCGGAGGUGCAAAGUCUGUUGGAACAAUUGCAAGAGAGAUGGAAAAAGAAUUGGGACGCACUCCCAUUGCACCAGAGGUUUUCAAGAAGACUUAUGCCAGGAAGAAAGAAAAUGAGUCGGAUCCGGAUGUGUGGGUGGAGGAAAGAGCCGAACAAACUUUUAUCUGGAAAGAAAAGGUGGUAGGGGGGACACACAAGGGUAGAGUCUAUGGUCUAGGCUCUCAAAACAAUGUAAGAUGACUCCAGUCAGGCUUAGAAGGAAUUGGAUCAUCAAGUCAAGCCGAGGCACUUGACGGUGUUCAGAUUGCUGCUAGUCCGAUCAAAUAGCUAAACUGACAGCGGCACUGGCAGAGUCGGAGCGGAGAAGAGUAGCUGAACAAGAAAGCAUGAGCAAUACUGUUCAGCAAAUCCAAAAACAAGUGAUGAACCUCGCUCAUGGAACUACUACUUCGGCUCUCGAGGAA